rnacentral:rRNA from 1 species
CCUACGGGGUGCAGCAGUGGGGGAUAUUGCACAAUGGGGGGAACCCUGAUGCAGCGACGCCGCGUGGGUGAAGGAGUAUUUCGGUAUGUAAAGCCCUAUCGGCAGGGAAGAAAUUGGACGGUACCUGACUAAGAAGCCCCGGCUAACUACGUGCCAGCAGCCGCGGUAAUACGUAGGGGGCAAGCGUUAUCCGGAUUCACUGGGUGUAAAGGGAGCGUAGACGGCCAUGCAAGCCAGGGGUGAAAGCCCGGGGCCCAACCCCGGGACUGCCCUUGGAACUGCAUGGCUGGAGUGCGGGAGGGGCAGGCGGAAUUCCUGGUGUAGCGGUGAAAUGCGUAGAUAUCAGGAGGAACACCGGCGGCGAAGGCGGCCUGCUGGACCGCGACUGACGUUGAGGCUCGAAAGCGUGGGGAGCGAACAGGAUUAGAUACCCUAGUAGUC